GGGCCCGUAGCUCAGCAGGAUAGAGCAUGGGACUUCUAAUCCCAGGGUCGGGGGUUCGAAUCCCUCCGGGCUCACCA
rnacentral:tRNA from 1 species